CGCGCUUGCGCGGCCUACCAUGCAAGUCGAGCGGAUGAAUGGGAGCUUGCUCCUGGGAUUCAGCGGCCGGACGCGUGAGUAAUGCCUAGGAAUCUGCCUGGUAGUGGAGGAUAACGUCCGGAAACGGGCGCUAAUACCGCAUACGGCCUGAGGGAAAAAGUGGGGGAUCUUCUGACCUCACGCUAUCAGAUGAGCCUACGUCGGAUUACCUAGUUGGUGGGGUAAAGGCCUACCAAGGCGACCAUCCGUAACUGGACUGAGAGGAUGAUCAAUCACACUGGAACUGACACUCGGACCAAACUCCUACGGGAAGCCCCAGUGGGGAAUAUUGGACAAUGGGCUAAAGCCUGAUCCAGCCAUGCCGCGUGUGUGAACAAGGGCUUCGGAUUGGAAAUCACUUUAAGUUGGGAGGAAGGGCAGGAAGAUAAUACCUUGCUGUUUUGACGUUACCAACAGAAUAAGCACCGGCUAACUUCGUGCCAUCACCCGCGGCAAUACGAAGGGUGCAAGCGUUAAUCGGAAUUACUGGGCGUAAAGCUCGCGUAGGUGGUUCUCCAAGUUGGAUGUGAAAUCCCCGGGCUCAACCUGGGAACUGCAUCCAAAACUACUGAUCUAAAGUACGGAACAGGGUGGUGGAAUUUCCUGUGUAACGGCGAAAUGCGUAGAUAUAGGAAGGAACACCAGUGGCGAACGCGACCACCUGGACUGAUACUGACACUGAGGUGCGAAAGCGUGGAGAGCAAACAGGAUUAGAUACCCUGAUAGUCCACGCCGUAAACGAUGUCGACUAGCCGUUGGGAUCCUUGAGAUCUUAGUGGCGCAGCUAACGCGAUAAGUCGACCGCCUGGGGAGUACGGCCGCAAGGUUACAACUCAAAUGAAUUGACGGGGGCCCGCACAAGCGGUGCAGCAUGUGGGUUAAUUCAAAGCAACGCGAAGAACCUUACCUGGCCUUGACAUGCUGAAAACUUUCCAUAAAGGGAUUGGUGCCUUCGGGAACUCCAAUCCAGGGGCUGCAUGGCUGUCGUCAACUCCUUUCCUGAAAAUGUUGGGUUAAGUCCCGUAAGCAAGGCCACCCUUGUCCUUAAUUCCCAGAACUUCGGGGGGGCCCUUCUAGGGAAAAUGCCGGGGGAAAACCGCGGGGGAAGGGGGGGAAAAAGGGGGGGGGUUUUUGGCCUUUUACGGGGGGGCUUUAACCCGGUUUAA
rnacentral:rRNA from 1 species